rnacentral:rRNA from 1 species
CCUACGGGGGGCUGCAGUGGGGAAUAUUGGACAAUGGGGGGAACCCUGAUCCAGCCAUGCCGCGUGUGUGAAGAAGGCCCUCGGGUUGUAAAGCACUUUCAGUGAGGAAGAACGCCUGGUGGUUAAUACCCAUCAGGAAAGACAUCACUCACAGAAGAAGCACCGGCUAACUCCGUGCCAGCAGCCGCGGUAAUACGGAGGGUGCGAGCGUUAAUCGGAAUUACUGGGCGUAAAGCGCGCGUAGGUGGCUUGAUAAGCCGGUUGUGAAAGCCCCGGGCUCAACCUGGGAACGGCAUCCGGACCUGUCAAGCUAGAGUGCAGGAGAGGAAGGUAGAAUUCCCGGUGUAGCGGUGAAAUGCGUAGAGAUCGGGAGGAAUACCAGUGGCGAAGGCGGCCUUCUGGACUGACACUGACACUGAGGUGCGAAAGCGUGGGUAGCAAACAGGAUUAGAUACCCCAGUAGUC